GAGAACGGACUGCAAGACAAGUCAAAAUAACAUGCAAGGGGGUGACUGGUCAUGGCGCUAUGCUCCAUAAGGAAGCUGUCACAGCCGGAGAAAAGAUUAACUAUAUCAUUCAUAAGUUUAUGGAAUAUCGAGAAAAGGAAAGACAAAAAUUUAUAAAUGGCGCGCCUUUGGGUGAAGUAACUACAAUCAAUUUAACAAAAUUAGAAGGUGGAGUUCAAAUCAAUGUGCUGCCUGAACAGCUUUCUGUAUAUUUCG